AACGAACGCUGGCGGCAGGCCUAACACAUGCAAGUCGAACGCCGUAGCAAUACGGAGUGGCAGACGGGUGAGUAACACGUGGGAACAUACCCUUCGGUUCGGAAUAACUCAGGGAAACUUGAGCUAAUACCGGAUACGUCCGCGAGGAGAAAGAUUCAUCGCCGGAGGAUUGGCCCGCGUCUGAUUAGCUUGUUGGUGAGGUAAUGGCUCACCAAGGCGACGAUCAGUAGCUGGUCUGAGAGGAUGAUCAGCCACAUUGGGACUGAGACACGGCCCAAACUCCUACGGGAGGCAGCAGUGGGGAAUCUUGCGCAAUGGGGGAAACCCUGACGCAGCCAUGCCGCGUGGAUGAUGAAGGUCUUAGGAUUAGUAAAAUACCUUUCAGCGGGGACGAUAAUGACGGUACCCGCAGAAGAAGCCCCGGCUAACUUCGUG
rnacentral:rRNA from 1 species